rnacentral:rRNA from 1 species
GACAGAGGGUGCGAACGUUGCUCGGAGUGACUGGGCGUAAAGCGCGUGUAGGCGGCUUCGCGCGUCGGGUGUGAAAGCCCGGGGCUCAACCCCGGACGUGCACCCGGUACGACGAGGCUGGAGUGCGGAAGAGGCGAGCGGAAUUCCCGGUGUAGAGGUGAAAUUCGUAGAUAUCGGGAGGAACACCAGUGGCGAAGGCGGCUCGCUGGACCGUGACUGACGCUGAGACGCGAAAGCGUGGGUAGCAAACAGG